AUUGAACGCUGGCGGCAGGCCUAACACAUGCAAGUCGAGCGAGCGGCGGACGGGUGAGUAAUGUCUGGGAAACUGCCUGAUGGAGGGGGAUAAACAAUGGAAACGGUAGCGAAUACCGCAUACCAUCAGAUGGGCCCAGAUGGGAUUAGCUAGUAGGUGGGGUAACGGCCCACCUAGGCGACGAUCCCUAGCUGGUCUGAGAGGAUGACCAGCCACACUGGAACUUAGACCCGGUCCAGACUCCUACGGGAGGCAGCAGUGGGGAAUCUUGCACAAUGGGCGCAAGCCUGUUGCAGCCAUGCCGCGUGUGUGAAGAAGGCCUUCGGGUUGUAAAGCACUUUCAGCGGGGAGGCGUUACCCGCAGAAGAAGCACCGGCUAACUCCGUGCCAGCAGCCGCGGUAAUUC
rnacentral:rRNA from 1 species